rnacentral:rRNA from 1 species
CCUACGGGAGGCAGCAGUGAGGAAUAUUGGUCAAUGGGAGAGAUCCUGAACCAGCCAAGCCGCGUGAGGGAAGACGGCCCUAUGGGUUGUAAACCUCUUUUGUCGGAGAACAAAACCCGGGACGUGUCCCGGACUGCGUGUAUCCGAAGAAAAAGCAUCGGCUAACUCCGUGCCAGCAGCCGCGGUAAUACGGAGGAUGCGAGCGUUAUCCGGAUUUAUUGGGUUUAAAGGGUGCGUAGGCGGUCCGUUAAGUCAGCGGUAAAAUGGCGGGGCUCAACCCCGUCGAGCCGUGGAAACUGGCAGACUUGAGUGGGCGAGAAGUACGCGGAAUGCGCGGUGUAGCGGUGAAAUGCAUAGAUAUCGCGAAGAACUCCGAUUGCGAAGGCAGCGUACCGGCGCCAGACUGACGCUGAGGCACGAAAGCGUGGGGAUCGAACAGGAUUAGAUACCCCAGUAGUC